AUUUUUCCCUGUGAAGCCUGCCAGGAUAUAAAGAUGUUUAAUUGGACAACCUUAUUCAUUCAGCUGUGACUUGCAGAAGGAUCUGAGCAGGUGCUGAGAUGUCUAUGCAGGCAAGUCUGAGGUUAGCCUCCCAGAGUUUCGGGGAAAAGCACACAGGCAUUCCUGAACACUCUGAGAGGUGCAGAAAAGUGGCUGAGCAGACAGACACAAGGUCUGGCAUGGAGGCAGAGGAUCACAGCGGAGCAUGGACCUAACAGCUGGAUGCCGUGUGGUGAUAUCACUAUCAGCAGAAGAUGCAACAAGACCGGGGCCACUGCUCAAGGCCAGAGAAACAGGUUUGUAGGGGCCAGUGGGUCAGCGGUGACCAUAGAAGACAGUCUUCUCUACUUUGAUAGCAAAACAAUGCGUAAGGCACCUGAGGAACUCAGAUUACAACCAGGGAGAAGA
rnacentral:lncRNA from 10 species